rnacentral:rRNA from 1 species
AGCAUAAUGGAUAGCAAUAUCUAUGGUGGCGACCGGCGCACGGGUGCGUAACGCGUAUGCAACCUACCUUUAACAGGGGGAUAACACUGAGAAAUUGGUACUAAUACCCCAUAACAUCAUGAAAGGCAUCUUUUAUGGUUGAAAAUUCCGAUGGUUAGAGAUGGGCAUGCGUUGUAUUAGCUAGUUGGUGAGGUAACGGCUCACCAAGGCGACGAUACAUAGGGGUUCUGAGAGGAAGGUCCCCACAUUGGAACUGAGACACGGUCCAAACUCC